AGUCGAACGCAGUAGCAAUACUGAGUGGCAAACGGGUGAGUAUAAUGUGGGAAUCUGCCUUUUGGUUUGGAAUAACAAGGGGAAACUUGUGCUAAUACCGAAUAAGCCCUUACGGGGAAAGUUUUAACGCCGAAAGAUGAGCCUGCACUUGAUUAGCUAGUUGGUAAGGUAAAGGCUUACCAAGGCAACGAUCAAUAGCUGUUCUUAGAGGAAGACCAGCCACAUUGGGACUGAGACACGGCCCAGACUCCUACGGGAGGCAGCAGUGGGGAAUCUUGCACAAUGGGGGAAACCCUGAUGCAGCGAUGCCGCGUGAGUGAAGAAGGCCCUUGGGUUGUAAAACUCUUUCGUCGGGGAAGAAAAUGACUGUACCCGAAUAAGAAGGUCCGGCUAACUUCGUGCCAGCAGCCGCGGUAAUACGAAGGGACCUAGCGUAGUUCGGAAUUACUGGGCUUAAAGAGCUCGUAGGUGGUUAAAAAAGUUGAUGGUGAAAUCCCAAGGCUCAACCUUGGAACUGCCAUCAAAACUUUUUAGCUAGAGUGUGAUAGAGGUAAGUGGAAUUUCUAGUGUAGAGGUGAAAUUCGUAGAUAUUAGAAAGAACACCAAAUGCGAAGGCAACUUACUGGGUCACUACUGACACUGAGGAGCGAAAGCAUGGGUAGCGAAGAGGAUUAGAUACCCUCGUAGUCCAUGCCGUAAACGAUGUGUGCUAGACGUUGGAAAUAUAUUUUUCAGUGUCGCAGCGAAAGCAUUAAGCACACCGCCUGGGGAGUACGACCGCAAGGUUAAAACUCAAAUGAAUUGACGGGGACCCGCACAAGCAGUGG
rnacentral:rRNA from 1 species